UCUCCGUUGGUGAAUCAGCGGAGGGAUCAUUACCGAGUUAUCAACUCCCAAACCCCUGUGAACAUACCCAACGUUGCUUCGGCGGGACCGCCCCGGCGCCCUCGGCGUCCCGGAACCAGGCGCCCGCCGGAGGACCCAAACUCUUGUUUAAACCAUAGUGGCAUAUUCUGAGUCUCACAAGAAAAAUGAAUCAAAACUUUCAACAACGGAUCUCUUGGCUCUG
rnacentral:misc_RNA from 1 species